rnacentral:rRNA from 1 species
UACGAAGGGGGCUAGCGUUGCUCGGAAUUACUGGGCGUAAAGGGCGCGUAGGCGGAUAGUCUAGUCAGAGGUGAAAGCCCAGGGCUCAACCUUGGAACUGCCUUUGAUACUGGCUAUCUUGAGUUCGGGAGAGGUGAGUGGAAUGCCGAGUGUAGAGGUGAAAUUCGUAGAUAUUCGGCGGAACACCAGUGGCGAAGGCGACUCACUGGCCCGAUACUGACGCUGAGGCGCGAAAGCGUGGGGAGCAAACAGG